AGAGUUUGAUCCUGGCUCAGAACGAACGCUGGCGGCAGGCCUAACACAUGCAAGUCGAGCGAGGAGCUAUCUUCGGAUAGUGGACAGCGGCGGACGGGUGAGUAAUGCGUGGGAAUAUGCCCUUUGGUACGGAAUAGCCCUUGGAAACGAGGAGUAAUACCGUAUGUGCCCUACGGGGGAAAGAUUUAUCGCCAAAGGAUUAGCCCAUGUUGGAUUAGCUAGUUGGUGGGGUAAGAGCUCACCAAGGCGACGAUCUAUAGCUGGUUUGAGAGGAUGAUCAGCCACACUGGGACUGAGACACGGCCCAGACUCCUACGGGAGGCAGCAGUGGGGAAUAUUAGACAAUGGGCGCAAGCCUGAUCUAGCCAUGCCGCGUGAGUGAGGAAGGCCCUAGGGUUGUAAAGCUCUUUCAGAUGUGAGGAUGAUGACAGUAACAUCAGAAGAAGCCCCGGCUAACUUCGUGCCAGCAGCCGCGGUAAUACGAAGGGGGCUAGCGUUUCGGAAUUACUGGGCGUAAAGGGCGCGUA
rnacentral:rRNA from 1 species